AUUAUCAUUCCCUUCUCAAAAAAUCAUAUUUAUUUUUUAUGGUGUGUUUUCUUGUAAAAUAAAAAAGUGCAAUGUAGAACUUGGGGGUUUGUCGCAAAAAACAUGAUUAAAAAAGGUGGUUUUGAAUCUGUCAGACAACCAUGUGACCAUCCCGGUUAGUUGAACUAGGCCAAGAACGAUCAUCUACAGCUGAAGAUGAUGCACACAUCAUCCUGGCCGUUAAUCACGCUCUGAUCACACGGUCACAACUCAUCUACCAGACAUAUGUUCCUAUCUCCUUAGAAAUCAAGGACACAGUAGUACAAUCCUAUAGAACAGAUCCUGUUCAAGUAAGAUAAACAAAAGCAGCUCUGGUGGGGAUACCGCUUCAAGUAGCUGGGGCCCAUUUUCAGCUUUUCAUGAUUGCCAUGGUAGAUUUUGAUCAAGAAAAUGUCGAGCUUUGGAAAGACUUAGUUAAAACAAAAGACCGAAUAUAUCGUUUAGCUCAAUACAGCUCAGCGGUUGGAAGGUGAGUUCUUAUUCAACACUGUUUCGUGUAUUUGCCAGGAUUUUUAAUCAAGUGAUCUGAUUAAUAUUUUUAAAAAGAUACUUAUCUUUGUCCUUUUCGGGUUGCGAGUGCACUGGGUGACCGGGGGCUUUGCUUUAUCCUAUCUAUGGUGAAGGAGAACUAACACAAGCCUUUUGUCGCCGUGCUUCUGUCAAAGGUUCGUCGAAUGCCUGUUAUUUCUCUGCUUAUGGAUAAGGUGACUGAGUUGCGUAAAGGUGUUAGAUCAGCUUAUGAUCCAUCCUUUGUAAUUCCAUCAACACAAUCUUUGUUUAAAGGAGUAACUAGGAGUUUUGUAGUUAUUAAUACAGUAAGUAUUUUAUGAUAGGGAUCAAAUUUUCUCACUCUUACCUCUCAACUUUUUUAUCACCUGCAUUGUCAACCACCAAGGAGAGAAAGAAGCCUCUGUACCUUGGUCUCUUUCUUUUGGAAGAAAAGCUUCAAUGAAUGAUUAAUAUUCUAGCUUUGAGAUGUUGAAGAAAACUAGAUGAUUUUAAACACAUGAAAUUGGAGAGAAAGGAUUAAUCCUUUUGAAUAAAUGUGUGGAUGAGUGAAUAGGGGAAAGAUGUGACAACUGGUUCUUCAUUCUCAAGGGGAGAAAGGGAAGUAGUCAAGUUAAUUUGUGUCUGAUAAUGUCCCACAUCUACCAAUGCAUAAACUAAACUAUGCUGAUCACAUAUAAAAUGAAAUGACCUCUACCUCCAAUAGGUACGGAGCCGUGUGAUGAUCACAUAGCGAACUAUUCUUUCGCCUUUUACUAAAGAAUACUGUGUGAGUGUCACAAUUAGCGGCAUACGCUAGUUUUUGGAAGAGUCCUCCUCACCGAAGGCUCUGCAAUUUUAGUACAAUAUUUUCUUAUUCUUGUUUUUUUGUGGUUACUAUGUUAUUGGUAUGCUACUUGUUUAAGGGAGUUCUUUACCACUUGUAUUAAUUCAUUGUUGGUAAUACUUCCCUAAUUUUUUUCUAGAGGAGUGACUCUAGACAAAACAACAUAGAGUAGGAAUUAAUUUAAUCAUCAUCCCCUCAAAGUGACACCUAUUCAUUGCCAAUAGGGGUGGGAAUAGGUAAGACCGUCCAAUAGGGGUCUACAGCCUAGGCUGAGUUUUUUCUUAAAUAGAUAAGUCUAAGAUUUUAUUAAGUAACAUUCUGGAGAUGGUGGUUUCUGCAAUACCAUUUUACUCUUAACACUAGUAAUUUUGCAUGUUAACAAUGGCCAGGACAAAAGAGGGUAUUCUGCUGUCGAAAUUUGUGGCUUCUACCUUGAUAUUUUAUCUCUGAAAUUUUUCCUGUUUCCUUUGUCAUUUUAGAAAUGAGAAAAUAAGAGUGAGAUUUCUUUUAUGCUGUGGUUUGAAAAUCAUAAUCAAAUCACCAAAUUAAUGUGAUUUGACACAAAUGGGAUAGUAUACUAGACUCUUUUGGAAACCUUUGAUAUUUUUUUUGCAAUAAUUUGUGAAUUGAGAUAUUUGGCAGUGGCUCAGUUUGUAUACUUGGUAUGCUUAAGCAUUCUGGCGGGGCGUUGUAUAUAUUUUUCUUUGAAAAGGUUAAAUCGAUCACCUUAUUAUGCAAUGAAAAUACCAUUUGUUUCAUCUUUCAUUGGAAUUUGGUUUUUUUGAAUAAAGUAUGUUAUGCCUUACACUUCAUGUGCAUGCAUUGUUUCAUCUUUGAUCGGUAUUUAUGUCUAAUUGUUUAUAGUGUAUGCAUAGCUUGUUGACCUGCGUCAGUACACUAAGGUAAAGCCUCUUUGUCUUCAACAAGAUUCUUUUGUAUACUAUAGCCAUGGUUGAUUUUGAUCAAGAAAAUGAUGAGGUUUGGAAAGACUUACUUAAAACAAAAGAAGGAAUAGAUCGUUUAGCUCAAUGCAGCUCAUCUGUUAGAAGUGCACCAAAGACUUUACUUUGUCCUAUUUAUGGUGAAGGAAAACUACGACAAGCUUUUUGUCGUCGUGCUGCUAUCAAAGGUUGCAUUUAUGUUCUCAGAAUGCUUGUUAUUUAUCUGCUUAUCCUGAACCCAUUCUUCACGAUUCCACCAUCGCCGACCGAUGCCGUCUUUGUCUCCUAAAGAUAUAUCCAGUGAAAGGCUGCAGAUGUUGAGUCAGAGAGAUAUUAAAGGAAUGGUGGCUAAGGGAAUAUGCAUCACCAGGUCCAGGAGUUUCAUACAACUAGAUGUAUCAAAAUUGCUCUGUGGUGUAUCCUCCUCUUAGAUGUAGGAGAUUGUACUUGUAGGUGCAAUGGCUGGAUCGACCCUCGCAGACUUCUAUGUUUUUUUCGACAAACUAAAGUACCACAAACCAAAUCAUCUAGUACGGAACAAAAGAAUGAAGGAAAAUCUACACUGUACACAAUCACAACUAUAUGUUGCUAACAGAAUUUACUGAAUAACAUAGUAAACUAAGCACUGCCACACAUGUUUCAUUCAAUCUCUUAACAACGGCGCUUUUUCAAGCCAUGAAUUAGACAAAUAAGUGUGGAUUGAAUACUUACAAUGUCGUGGUGAGCCCUGCGUCUUGUGGUGUGGACUACUCCACCUAUGCUUGAAGCUCGAUUAUUCUUAUUUUGGGUCGAGAGCUUCUUUUUCCUUGCCCUUGUAAGUUGCAAUUAUAUCAAUGAGACGUUUUGCACAUCUUU